rnacentral:rRNA from 1 species
UACGAAGGGGGCUAGCGUUGCUCGGAAUCACUGGGCGUAAAGGGUGCGUAGGCGGGUCUUUAAGUCGGGGGUGAAAUCCUGGAGCUCAACUCCAGAACUGCCUUUGAUACUGCAGAUCUUGAGUUCGGGAGAGGUGAGUGGAACUGCGAGUGUAGAGGUGAAAUUCGUAGAUAUUCGCAAGAACACCAGUGGCGAAGGCGGCUCACUGGCCCGAUACUGACGCUGAGGCACGAAAGCGUGGGGAGCAAACAGG